ensembl:lncRNA
CAGAAAUCUCCUUCUCACAACAGCGGUCUUUAGGAAAGAGGGCCAUAUCACACUCAACCUCAGCAAUGACUCUUCUUCUUCUAAUCGUUCUUGCUCUUGGUGAUCUGCCAGGAAGAAGCAGAGACACUGCAAGAAGUGACCAGAUCCUGUCAUGCACAUGCACUCUGCUGUAGACAUGAUUUACCCUCUGAUUCUCUCUGGAAUUUUACUUCACAUCACAGUAAACUUUGCUGCUGUCUGGUUGACCAAGGCUUCAACUCUAAUGAAACACACCUGAACAAGCUAAUCAAGGUCUGAAGGGUUACUAGAAAGCUACAGGCAGAUCUACUCUAAACCUGAAGAUCCACCGAUAUACAGCACUAUAAAUGAUGAAAACCCAAAUGAUCUCAACAAGGACAUAAUCUACUACAGUACUAUUGAUGAUGUUCCUGGGAGUGAAGCAGUGAGGCCUCCAGCAGGCGGAGCGAUAUACAGCAUAAUAUACAGCACUGUGGAUCCACACUGACUGCAACAGUGAAGAACUCAGGAACAGAACCUUCUGACCAUGAGAAACAAAAUCAGGAUCAGAGGACUGUCAUCACAACUUUUUUGUAGUUUUUUGUAUUAUCUGCUUAUAAUUUCUUCACUGUAAGUUUACUUGUACAGUUUUAUGUUGUUUGCAUUAAUACAAACAAGCAUGGGCC